UUACGGUCACAUCUGGUUGAAUCACCGGUUUCCGUAUGAUCACCGAAGUUAAGCAACAUCGAGCCUGGUUUUUACCUAGAUGGGCGCCCGCUUGAGAAUAUCAGGGGCUGUAAGC